rnacentral:rRNA from 1 species
UACGUAGGGGGCAAGCGUUGUCCGGAAUCAUUGGGCGUAAAGCGCGUGUAGGCGGUCCGGUAAGUCGGCUGUGAAAGUCCAGGGCUCAACCCUGGGAUGCCGGUCGAUACUGCCGGACUAGAGUUCGGAAGAGGCGAGUGGAAUUCCCGGUGUGGCGGUGAAAUGCGCAGAUAUCGGGAGGAACACCAAUGGCGAAGGCAGCUCGCUGGGACGUUACUGACGCUGAGACGCGAAAGCGUGGGGAGCAAACAGG